rnacentral:rRNA from 1 species
CAAUAGCGUAUAUUAAAGUUGUUGCGGUUAAAGAGCUCGUAGUUGGAUCUCGGCAGGCAGGGGGUGGUUCGCUCUUAGCGCUACUGCCCCAUUUGCCUGUGUGAUUGGCGGAGGUUUCGGGGUGCUCUUCGUUGAGUGACCCGGGGCGCCGUCAGGUUUACUUUGAAAAAAUUAGAGUGCUCAAAGCAGGCUUUUCACGCUUGAAUAUUCGUGCAUGGAAUAAUGGAAUAGGAACUCGUUUCUAUUUUGUUGGUUUUCGGAAAUCGAGUUAAUGAUUAAUAGGGACAAUUGGGGGCAUUAGUAUUCAGACGACAGAGGUGAAAUUCUUGGACCGUCUGAAGACUAACUACUGCGAAAGCAUUUGCCAAGAGUGUUUUCAUUAA